rnacentral:misc_RNA from 1 species
GAUGAAGAACGCAGUGAAAUGCGAUAAGUAGUGUGAAUUGCAGAAUUCAGUGAAUCAUCGAAUCUUUGAACGCACAUUGCGCCCCUUGGUAUUCCAUGGGGCAUGCCUGUUCGAGCGUCAUUUGUACCUUCAAGCCUUGCUUGGUGUUGGGUGUUUGUCUCGCCUCUGCGCGCAGACUCGCCUCAAAACAAUUGGCAGCCGGCGUAUUGAUUUCGGAGCGCAGUACAUCUCGCGCUUUGCACUCAGAACGACGACGUCCAAAAGUACAUUUUUACACUCUUGACCUUGGAUCAGGUAGGGAUACCCGCUGAACUUAAGCAUAUCAAUAAGCGGAGGA